rnacentral:rRNA from 1 species
GAUUAGAUACCCCACUAUGCCUCGCUCUAACAUAAUAAUUUAAAACCAUAUUAUUCGCCAAACAACUACGAGCGAAAGCUUAAAACUUAAAAGACUUGACGGUACUUCAAACCAACCUAGAGGAGCCUGUCUAAUAACCGAUAAUCCACGAUUAACCCAACCUUUUCUGGCCUAACAGUCUAUAUACCGCCGUCGCCAGCCCACCUUGUGAAAGAAAUAUAAGUGGACCAAAUAAUAUCAUAAUUAAUACGACAGGUCGAGGUGUAACCAAUGAAAAGGACAAGAUGGGCUACAUUUUCUAAUCAGAAACAAACGAAACAACUAUGAAACUAGAAACUGAAGGAGGAUUUAGCAGUAAGAUAAGAAUAGAACACUUAACUGAAACCAACGCAAUGAAGUGCGCACACACCGCCCGUCAUCCCUGCCCAAUAAAAAAAACAUCCAUAAACAACCAUUACCAACCAAAACAGGGCAAGUCGUAACA